UUUAUUUGCAGUUCUGGCACAGAGCAGACAUCAGCUUACACAAAUGUUAAUGAAAGCUGUUUACUGUAGUCAGAAUAACCCGAGUGAACGUACUAAGACAGCAGCAGUGUAGAGUAGAGUCCAUUCACACCGGCCUUUCUCUCUUAGACAUGGACGGAGAUUCAGUUUCUGGACAGAAGAGGCAUUGCUGCUUCUGCAGGAACUCUGCAGCUGAUCUUCAGGUUCCAGAGACGACCACCUCCACACCUGAAGUCCAAUCAGACAGGAAGUGUCGGCAACAGGAAGAGAGGAGCAGUGAAGACAUUUGAUUCAGAGAGACCCCCCCCCACCGCCACAAACACUACUGCUGUCACUGUUGUCUAAAUAAACUCUUAAUAAUUUAUUUCCUACAUUUUAUUGAAAAUAUCAUAAUCCACUGUAACAUAACUCUAGCAGAUGAUUAUGACAUAACAUGAACAAAAACAGGAACCAAAGAUAUGGUCCAAGAAUACUAACAGGUCAGUCACUUUUGUCUCCUCCUUCAGAGGUCGCCUCAGCCAAUCAGCAUCAGCGCUUCACACAGGUGGUUUUUACACCUGUGUAAUAUUGACAUGGGAAAACCAGAUGUUCUAAAGUUUAUUCAUUUGAAUUACUAAAAAUGCUUAGUUCAACAUGAAAUUAGCAAAAAAGAAAACAAA